rnacentral:lncRNA from 1 species
AUGUUGUGGAAGAAUUUUUGCUUGAAGAAUGUGAAAUAUUGUGUUUACAAUAGACUUCUGCCUAAACAAGACCUAGACAAACGUAACCACCUCAAUUCUAAAUUUUUCGGAGUGGGGGAAUCAACUACUGAUCUCAGCACAGCUAUAGUCAGAGGCAGAAUAUCAGGAGGAGUGGCUGUGCUUUGGAACAAAACAAUUGAUGCUGUAAUUAAGUCAAUUAGACUGGAUGUAGAUUGGUGUAUUGGCAUUCAAUGUAUCCAGUAUGACAAUAGUUUUGUUAUCCUCAGUAUUCAUACUCCAUGUGAAACUGCUGGAAACGAAGGGGAAUAUCUUGGUAGGUUGGCAUUUAUUAAUGCAUUUAUUCAAAGCCACAGUACUUGUAGUAUAUAUGUUGUGGGUGACUUUAAUGCUGAUCUAUCAGAUAAAAAAUCUCAGUUUGCUAAACACUUAACACAGUUGUGUGAAAACAAUGAUCUUAUGCUAUCUAGCAAAGUGUUUUUGCCAAAAGACAGUUACACAUAUAUUAGUGAGGCCUGGCAUAAUCCAUCAUGGCUGGAUCAUUGUUUUAGUACAGCUGAUGGACAUGCAGCUUUGGAUAGCAUGACUAUAAAGUAUGGGGUAGCUGUGUCUGAUCAUAUACUUUUUGCUUUCUCUAUAACUGUGGAACAACUGCCUGAUACAAUGGGAGUUAAUUACGUCAAUAAUGAUAAUACUAUAAAAUUAGAAUGGGCAGCAUUUAGUGACAAAGACAUAUUGUCUUAUAGUAAUAAUACAGAUCAAUAUCUAAACAAUAUCUCUGUGGCUAAAGAGGCCAUCCUGUGUAAAGAUGUCAAUUGUAAGAAUCUCGAACACAAAAGUAAACUAUGCUCUAUGUAUGAGGAUAUAGUGGAUGCUUUGUAUGAAAGUGGUAAGCCAUUUCAUGUCAAAGGUAAGCAUAAGCAGAAACCUCCUAUCAGGCCUGGCUGGAAAGAACAUGUUGCCAUGUAUCAGGAUGAAGCACGGGUAGCUUUUAAACUUUGGGAUAUGAUUGGGAGACCUAGGCAAGGUCUGGAAUUUGAACAGAAAAACGUGCAAAUGCCAGAUAUAAGUAUGCUGUUCGUUUUAUAUCAAACAAUGAGCAGAUCAUGA